rnacentral:rRNA from 1 species
UGGGGAAUAUUGCACAAUGGGCGAAAGCCUGAUGCAGCAACGCCGCGUGAGUGAUGAAGGCCUUCGGGUUGUAAAGCUCUGUCUUUUGGGACGAUAAUGACGGUACCAAAGGAGGAAGCCACGGCUAACUACGUGCCAGCAGCCGCGGUAAUACGUAGGUGGCAAGCGUUGUCCGGAUUUACUGGGCGUAAAGGAUGCGUAGGCGGAUUUUUAAGUGAGAUGUGAAAACCCUAAGCUUAACUUGGGGACUGCAUUUCAUACUGGAAAUCUAGAGUGCGGGAGAGGAGAAUGGAAUUCCUAGUGUAGCGGUGAAAUGCGUAGAGAUUAGGAAGAACACCAGUGGCGAAGGCGAUUCUCUGGACCGUAACUGACGCUGAGGCAUGAAAGCGUGGGGUAGCAAACAGGAUUAGAUACCCUGGUAGUCCACGCCGUAAACGAUGAGUACUAGGUGUAGGAGGUAUCGACCCCUUCUGUGCCGCAGUUAACACAAUAAGUACUCCGCCUGGGAAGUACGAUCGCAAGAUUAAAACUCAAAGGAAUUGACGGGGUCAUAGCUGUUUCC